rnacentral:rRNA from 1 species
AGAAUCAACGCUGGCGGCGUGCCUAACACAUGCAAGUCGCACGAGAAAGGGGCUUCGGCCCUGAGUAAAGUGGCGCACGGGUGAGUAACACGUGAAUAAUCUACCUCUGAGUGGGGAAUAACUGAGAGAAAUCUUAGCUAAUACCGCAUAAUACUUACGAGUCAAAGCAGCAAUGCGCUUGGAGAGGAGUUCGCGGCCGAUUAGUUAGGUUGGCGGGGUAAUGGCCCACCAAGACGAUGAUCGGUA